GUAGGAGAGAGGAAGGAAUGACAUGCUGCUUGGUGGCCUGGGGACUAGAGAGAGAAUCCAGGGAAUCUGCAACUCUGAAGUUGAGGUCAGAAGGGCAGAGCCAACAAAAAGCCAGAAAUCUUACCAGGUCUUCACACAUGACAGGAUGUAUGAAGAUCUAGCUCCAGGCAGCUCUUCCCUAGAAAACUGUGUCUUUGGUUUUCUGCAAUAGUUGGUUCUGCUUCAAAGAAUAAAUAGAUAAAAACUGAUAGAGCAGAUGAGUGGUUGUUGCCAACUCCUGAUUCAAAAAUGAACAAUAUUCACCAAAACAACCUGAAGACAUAGAAGAGGAAGGAAUAUCUGACCAUAGCUGAAAUAACUAAUUUGAAAUGAAACAUGAGUGCACAGAAUUAAAAAGAAACCUACUGGCAUGUCUGGGAAAUCCCAAUUCAAGCAUGAAUGCGGGUAAGCAAUGAAGAAAAAGAUGCUGAUUUACACUAUUUCACUCAUCAGAGCCAGGAGGACAGGAGAGCUUGUAUCACCAUCUUUAUUUUUAACAAAUGUCUUUAUAUUGGAUUCUCUGAAAAUGUUCAUGUGCAAUAUCUGCAUUAUUUUUGGCCAUUGUUUGGGGAAAUGCUUUAAAUUUUGAUGCCAAAAAAAGCCUCUCAAUUGUCGACGAAUUAAUAUGUCUCUGUUUAAAAACUGUGAUGAAAUGUAGAAAGCAGGCCCAAGACUAGUAUCUCUGCCUUUUUCCUGUGUGCAAUGGCAGUGGAGCCUUUAAACAAUUAUGUACCUUGUUGAAUAACCAAUUUUUAAAAGCACAGAAAAAUCUGUUCAUAUGGAAAGUCUUAUGUUCUCCUUCAGGAACAAUAUUACUGGAAUAAGGAAAUAUAGAAGCAUUUUCUCCAUAUUCCUGGCCGCCUCCCACAGUAUUUUCACCUUCUGGUCACUGCCACCCUGGUUAGUGACCUUCCUGCAGGACAACCACAAUAACAACCAUUAUACCAAUAAAUAAGUAGUCAGACAAUUCUCAAGGAAAAUGUGGGCUUUGCUAACACAGAAGGAUCUCCUUCUAAUCAAAGGCACCCACUAUUAAUCUUUCAAGACCCAAGUCUCUCAACCCUGGAUUGAAUGCUGUGCACUUCCUCAGGCAAUGGAUCAUGGAGGAGUUUAUCUAAGGGACAUGCCAAUCACUCAUUCCCCAGGGCUGGAUUCUCUAGCCUGAGUCCUAUUUCAGGUCAGAUGUGAAGAAAACUAUUUGCCUGAAUACCAAACUUUAAGCUCCCUGUAAAAAUCACCUUCAGAGAAACAACUGGAAGGAUAAACUGCAUACCCUCAGAUUUCUUUCUUUCUUUUUUUCCCCAGAGGGUGAUAAGAACAUUUGGUAUCUUCUGUGCAACCCCUGUUCUUCUUUUCCUUCUUUCAACACUCAUACCCUCUUCAUUACAUGGUCUGUAUUACUUGAACCCUUCUAAAUACAUCUUUAAUUGCAAGAUAGCCCCAAAACUGUAAGAGUAGGAAAGAGUAUAAACAACUAAAAUGAAAUAAACCCAUCUGGUCUUUAUCUAUUUCCUACCCAAUUAUGAAAAGCAAAGGAGAAAAAUAAAAUCACUGAGAAGCAAUUCAGAAAUGCAGAGGUCCUGUUCACAGCAAUCACUCUACUGUCUCAAAAGCAAGCUCUAACCCCAUCCUUCCCUUUCUCCCCUGUAAAUCAAGAGUGGGGUGUGACAGCGGAGGCUUAGCUGGUCAGAAGGCACAUCCUCUGUGAGUUGGGGACAUGUGUUAUGCAUCAUGGUUUUGGGGUCUGUUUCUGGGAGAAUACUCUGGAGAGAGGAAGACCAUUGUUUGUCAGAGCCCACAAAUGUUUUACUGUCACAUUCUCUAGACCCUCACCCUGUCAUUAUUUGUCAUCCCCUAAGUCCACCUAGGAGAGGCCACAAGGAAAGAAAAUAAUUGUUAUUUAGCCACAGCAGUGAAUGCCAGAGUGGGAAACCAUCUCUCCAUGGGGAAGGAUGCAAGAGGCAGAGAAGAGUUCUGGGAGGUAGCACCAGAGAGUGAGGAGAUAUGGACUGCAGUGUCCUAUGGGCGAGCUGGGCCCAUCUCCUUCACUUCACCCACAUAGGGCCCAGCCAGUGCGGCCAGGUCUUGGCCCCAGCCCAGCUUCUCCCAGCUCUGGGACCUUCAGCACAUCCCUUCUUGUUUGGGCCUACAUUUCAUGACGUGAACAUUAUAUGAAAUGCAAAUUUCAUUGUCUAUAAGGAACUAAAGUUUUGUUUUUGUGGUAUCUAUGGCUGCCUUUGCACUACAGAAGUAUGGUUGAAUAGAUGCUGCAGAGGCUGAAUGGCCCACAAAGCCUAAAUUACCCCAUGGCUCUUUUCAGAAAAAGUUUGCUGACCCCCAACUAAAAGAAGAAACAGUGUCCUUCACGAUGUACACAGUCUACACCAAGUGGACCUGCUGGAAACAACGCCUGUGUGCCCGGGUGAGCCAGCCACGGCUCAGUGAGGGAGCAGCGUGCCUCCUGAGGGGGCUCACAGGGGCUCACACUGCUCUGCUCUUGCAAAACUGCCCUUCCAAAAGUCUGUUCCCCUGUGGGAGGAGGAGGCUCCUGGACGAGUUGGCAAGAAAAUCUCAGGAGGAAGGGACAAA